AGAAUCUUACCCAUUACACUUUGUUGUCUGUCAUUUUACGAUCCAUCCUAAUAUUUCAGUUAUUUACUGGUAAAAGUUUUAUAUUAAUUCAGAAUGUAAAAAAUAUAAAUAUGGAGCCGCGUGUCAGUAUGACUGCGGGAAUUGCCUUAAUCUCAAGGACUGCGAAAAAACAUCGGGAAUCUGCAAAGAGGGUUGUCACAGUAGCUGGUAUGGACCGAACUGCAAUUAUUCCUGUCCUAUUGGGACAUACGGCGGAGCGUGCGACAAAAUCUGUGGUAAUUGUGCAGACAGCGCCCCCUGUCACUCAACGACGGGGGCGUGUCCUGAUGGGUGUCACCCAGGGUAUAUGUCGGACCGCUGCGACAUACAAUGCCCUAGAUUUACAUACGGAAAAGGUUGCUUCCAACGCUGUGGAAACUGUGCGAAUGGUGCCACAUGUAAUCACGUGACAGGCUCAUGUCCCGAAGGAUGCAUGCCGGGAUAUACAGGAAAUAAAUGUGACAAAGUUUGUGAGACUGGUUUCUAUGGAGACAGUUGUCAACUACCGUGUAACAGUUGUCGAGAUCUGAAAUGUCAUCACGUGACAGGACAGUGCAUUGAUAACUGUCAGCCUGGUUGGAAAAAUUUGCCUUUCUGUGACCAAAAAUGUACUCCAGGGAUGUUUGGCGACCAAUGUAUCAAUAUCUGUGGUCCCUGUAAAGACAAUCAACCAUGUGAUCACGUGACCGGUGAUUGUGCUGAUGGCUGCCAACCAGGAUGGAAGGGGGUGCAGUGCUCAGAGACCUGCCCCUUGAACACAUACGGAGACCAGUGUUUGUCCAAGUGUGGACACUGUGUAGGAAAUAUCACAUGUAACCCGGAAGACGGGGUCUGUCCAGAGGGAUGCCGAGACGGCUAUAUAGGCAACAAAUGUGUUUCUACAAAAUCGGAGCAGAUGGCACCAAUGACUGCCGUGAUCGGAGGAACGGCAGGUGGCGCAGUGUUCGCUGUCUUACUUGUGAUCUUGGCUGUUAUAUUAAUCAAGUUGGUGUUAACAAACUUUUUUUAGGGAGAGGGGUUUAUUUCAUUCUUUUGAAUUCUAUGCAAUAGGUCAUAUGUCGAUAAAUGAUUUGUUUAUUGGCACAAAUUAAAAAUUUAAAAAAAAUUUGAAUUCGCAGAAAGAGGAAAGAAAAGAAUCAAGGGAGGCCAGCUGUGGAUCUGAACAUGAACGCUCAAUACGCUAACGGUUUGUCAGCUUCCAAUUACAAACCCCAUUCUGUAGCUUUCCGACGCUUUUAUUUACUUUAAUGCUGUAAUGAAUAAUUAAUCACCCAGAUUAACAAAUAUAGGCGACGAAUGCCAGAUUAAUGAUAGCACAAUUGAUGAGAGUGUUUGAUUGGUGAUGUUCUAUUUUUAGCAGUGAUGUUCGGGAACCUGGAUGAACUGGAUAACCGGAGCUUCCGGAUCAGCGCUAGUUCCGCCGUGUACUAUAACCUGGACAUUGAGAGGGGAAUUCACAUCAACCAGCUUAAUGAGUACAUUCACACUCUGGAAGCCAAUCCGGAGAAAUACCAGACACAAUUUGAUGAACUAAAAGACUGUCCAAGAUUUCUUCACGUAGAGGGUCAGAAAAAAGAAAAUAAAACAAAGAAUCGGUUCUUGACCACCUUCCCGUAUGACCAUUCUAGGGUCGUUCUUACGUUUAUGAAGGACAGGAGUGGUUCGGACUACAUCAAUGCUAACUACAUAGAUAGCAUGGAAGAACGAAAGAAAUAUAUUGCAACCCAAGGACCAAAAAUUAACACCAUCAUUGACUUCUGGAGAAUGGUAUGGCAAGAAAACGUGCAUCAGAUCAUCAUGCUAACCAAUAUCAUAGAGGACGGAAAGGUUAAGUGCGAGCACUAUUGGCCAGAGAGCGACGAACCUUUGAUCCUAGGAGAUCUGGAUAUCCGUCUGCAAUCAGACAAACAUUUUGCAAGCUACAGUAUUCGUCAAAUGACUCUAUCAUAUGAGGGAGAAACCAGGCGGAUUCAUCAGUUUCAUUUUACGGGUUGGCCGGAUCACGGAAUUCCUGAAACUCUGGAGUUGGUACACUUUCUGAAACGGGUCCAGUCCAGUGAGUUCUAUGAGCAGAGUCCCAUGCUAGUUCACUGCAGUGCGGGAGUUGGACGAACGGGUACAUUCAUAGCGCUGGAUUCUCUCCACCAACAUGGACUCAAAAUACAGUUUGUGGAAGUCCUUGGAUACAUCAAACGAAUGCGCGAAUGUCGGAUGUCUAUGAUACAGAAUGUGGACCAAUACCGUCUGCUUCACUUUGCCCUACUAGAAGCAUUCACAUAUCGCGAGACGUCUGUGCCACAGGCGGAGUUCAUGGACUACUACAAGAAAAUAUGUCGUCAGAAGCCUCGCCUUCUCUACGAGGAAUUCCAGAUUCUAAAUGACAGCAAACCCAAGUACGUAUCAAUGGACUGGACAGCUGCUAUAACGGACGAGAAUCAACUCAAAAAUCAGUCGUCUGCUGUCCUUGCCGUGGAUCAAUUUAGACCGUACUUGAAUACGUACGUGCCCGGAACAAACGAUUACAUCAAUGCAGUGAUCAUUCCAUCUCUGAAGCCUGACAUGGAUUACCUCAUCACACAGAGCCCUCUACCGGCCACAAUUGUUGACCUCUGGCGUCUUGUUUAUGACCAUGACAUUGACGUCAUUGUGUCACUCAACUCACCUGUUGACGAGAAAGAGAAAUCGGUGACUUGGUGGCCGAGUGACGGCGACACGGCGUGCUACGGCCCUCUCUACGUUAGGACGGCGUCCACAGAGCAACAGAACCAGGGCUGUUUGUCCAGGUUUAUACAGAUAUUCAAAAAGGGGUCGGGUGAAACACGAGGACUGACAUAUUUCCACUUAAGCGGUUGGCCGGAGGAGCGGGAAACUCCAAAAACUUUCCAGACGACACUGUCAGUCGUCCGGGAAGUUCAGCAGACGAUAACAUCCACCAGUCGUAUCCUGGUCAUGUGCAAGAAUGGUGCCAAGUGUAGCGGUUUGUAUUGCGCGCUCAGUCUUAUCCUAGAUCGGAUCAAAUUGGAGGAUCAAGUUGACGUAUUCCAUACUGUCCGAAAACUUCAAAUCCGCCGUCCACAAUUUAUACAAAGCAUAGAACAAUAUAGCUGGUUAUAUGAUGCCGUGGCGGAACAUUUAAAUACAGCGGUAUACGGAAACCUGUGAUUAAUGGGUCCAACCUGCUGUCAGUAUCUUCAAUUAUCUGCACUUUUCGAUCGGCCACUGAGAACUGUAGAUUUUUUGUUGCACCUCAGCUGCUGAAUCUAUUACCUGCAGUGUCGACCAAGUUACAUAAUCGAACUUCAAUGCCCGUCAUGAUUACCUGAUAGCGAAAUGACAAUCUGUUGCUCAGCAAAUAAAUUUCGUCCGUGACUUUUUCCACAAAAAAAAAACAUUGACAAAGUACAUCUAGGUGCGCCUCAAUGAUUGAAAGGUUGUGGUAUUCCUACCUACAAAUUGUCAACGCCAAUAGUAUUUAUAUGAUGAUUUAUUUUAUUUACUUUAUUUAACAUUUUCUUGUAUUUUUUUAUUAAUAAAAUUAUUUUUACAUC
rnacentral:misc_RNA from 1 species